rnacentral:tRNA from 1 species
CCUCCGAUAGCUCAAGUGGUAGAGCGCUGGGCGACUAGCCCAGAGAUGCUGGUUCGAUUCCAGCUCGGAGGA